rnacentral:rRNA from 1 species
AUAGCCUAACGGCUGAACCAGCAACUUGGAGGAAUGUAUAGCGAAAGCUAGUUGCAUUUAACUUAGCGAAAGCUAAGUUUAUGCAGGAUUGACUAUGUCAAAUAAAGUUCUAGGUGGGUUAUGAUGAUGACAUUUCCUAUCUAUGUGUCUUGACCAAAUUACGUGCCAGCAGUCGCGGUAACACGUAAAAGACUAGUGUUAUUCAUCUUUAAUAGGUUUAAAGGGUACCUAGACGGUAAAUCAAGUCCAAGAAGGGUACUAAUUUUACUAGAGUUUAAUAUGAGGGGGCACUAAAGUACUGAUAAGUGUAGAGAUGAAAUUCUGUGAUACAAUAUACGGCACUGGUAAAGGCGAAAGCAUCUCAUUAUGUAAUAACUGACGUUGAGGGACGAAGGCUAGGUGUAGCAAAAAGGAUUAGAUACCCAAGUAGUCUUAGCAGAAAAUUAUGAAUGUCAUAGGAUGGAAAGUUGGAUGGACAAACAACAAAUUUUUUUUCCUAUAAAUGAAAGUGUAAGCAUUCCACCUCGAGAGUAAUUUGGCAACAUUGGAACUGAAAUCAUUAGACCGUUUCUGAAACAAGUAGUGAAGUAUGUUGUUUAAUUUGAUGGUCCGCAAAAAACCUUACCACAAUUUGAAUAGAAAAAUUUUUUUUCAUACAAGCGCUGCACGGUUGUCUUCAGUUAAUGUCGUGAGAUCUUGGUUAGUUCCAUUAAAUUAACGUAAA